rnacentral:misc_RNA from 1 species
GCAAACUUGGUCAUUUAGAGGAAGUAAAAGUCGUAACAAGGUUUCCGUAGGUGAACCUGCGGAAGGAUCAUUAAAGAUUUGCCCUCGCCGAGGGUUUCUCUUCAGCUGUGCGCUCCGGCUGCACGCUGUUGAACCUCACACACCCAGUGCACCAUUCGGUUGCGAUCGGCCAGUCUGGUCGCUUCCGCUUUUUUACAUUCAACCACCGUUCCGAAUGUCAACAAACUAUAAAAGUAACAACUUUCAACAACGGAUCUCUUGGCUCUCGCAUCGAUGAAGAACGCAGC